GUCACAACUUUUUAAUAGUAAAUGUGAAACCUUUUCUAAGUUUCUUUUUCCAUAUCCUAUCAUGGAAAUAUUAAGAUAUGGAAGACAAAGUUUAACCAGAGUUGAAAAAGCAAGAUAAUUCCAGGGGAAAGGUCCAGACCUCCAGUCACAGAGCCCUGCUGGAAGAAGAGGAAGUCUCCGAGGAACCAGAGGACUCUAGCCCAAGGGAGCCCCCCGGGAAGGAUACAGCCACACAGUAGGUCAAGAUGAGGAUGGACAAUCCAGUCUGAGCCAGCAGUCAGUGGCCCAUGGGAAAGUCAAGACUCUUUCUGUCCCCAGUCCAGUGAACCUGCUGGUUGGAAACAUCUACUUUGAGGAGAGAGAGAAGUGGUCUUUCUGUUUAUAUCCCUGCUGUAUAAACAUCUAUUGAAGGAGUUUCCAAGAUGGUUUUCAGAGCCCAACUACAACCAGCCUGGGCUUCCCAGAUCAAGGGAAAUUGGAGCAGUUCAGAAAGUGAAUGAUGGUUUCAUGGCUACCGGCAGUGUCUAAAGUGGCCCAGACAUGUCAUAUUGCCCAGAUAUGCUCCACAAUGUCAAUUUAUUGUGAUGACAGUUUCAUAGACAAAGUCCCUCCUUUUAAAUAGUACAUUUUCUUUCCAGUCACAAACAAGCCAACUUUGUUUAAAGGAACAUAUAUGAUUAGCCUCUUUUUAAAGUUAAGAUUCCUAUAAGGUACCUACCAAAUUCUCUGAACCCAGCAUUUAACAUUGGCUGAAUAAUAUAGCAGCACACAAAUAUAAUAGGUUGACACCGUUGGAGAGAGAGCUGGGCAUUUUGAUGGAUUUAUUUUGUGGACUGUGGAAACAUGAAGGUAUGCACAAGUGGGCGUUCUGCCCCAACAUACAUGUGGCAGGUGAGAUGUGAGAGGGAUUAAUUAUUGAAAUCCAAUCAACUGCUAUUGACAAUUUUGUCAACAUCAGGAACAGACAGGAUGUUUUCUGCAAUUCUUGAAGAGAAUUGGAAGAGGACCCCAAUCAACAGAGGCAACUGAUGUACAGGGUAUUCCUUAAUUCCUUCAUUAUUUAGUAAACAUUUAAAGGACCCUCUAAUGUACCAGGAAUACAGAUUUAGACUUCAAUGACUCCAUGGGGAACUGGUAGAUAAGAAGACUCUUACAACAGAGGGAGAUAAGAGAAUGGCUUUCUCAUACUCCUCUGGCCUAACACUUACUCAGACCCAUGCACCUACCUGCAAAGGAGGCUGGGAAUUGUAGUCUCCAGCUGAGCAGGCGUCCCACUUCACUCCGGAGUUUCUGGUUAACAUGUAGCAGUUUCUCCAUGGGAGAUUUUAAAGUAUCAUCAGGCAGGGGUCCAAACGGAACCAUCCAAGAGCAUCAACCAGCACAGCAGCUUCUGCCUAGUAUGCACUGCCUAGGCCAUGCUGCAGGGUCUGCCUACAAUGAUGGGCAGAGGUUUUAUUGUUAUUAUGCAUUAAAACUGAUUAUCAUCACUGUGAUUAUUUGCAAUCUAUAAAUAAGAAAUGUAAUUAAUUUUCAUACUUAAGUUGUUAGAUUAUUUUCACAAUUUAAAUUCAAUUGUUAUCAAAGUAAAUAGCAAGGCAGACUAUAUGGGAUUUAUCCAAAAAGUUGUACAGAAUUUAAGUACAAGAAGAACAGGGCUGGGGUUGUGGCUCAGUGGUAGAAUGCUCGCCUAGCAUGCAUGAGGCACUGUGUUCAAUCCUCAGCACCACAUAAAUGUAAAACAAAGAUAUUGUGUCUACCUACAACUUAAGAAUAAACAUUUUUUAAAAAUUUAAAAAAAAAUAACAAAGGGCAAGGAAGUAAUACUUGCGUUAGCAGACUUAUGGAAAGAGCUACAUGAGGCGGGUCACCUAAGUUGGGGUUAGCUGCUACCGUGGGGGGACAGUGUGACCACCUAGGAGCUCCUCCAGUGUGAGCCUGUGUCUUCAUUACCCUUGUGGCCCCAGAACCUAGUGGAGCUAAUUUCCUGGCAUUUAUUGGCUCUUGAUUAACAUUCAACAAAGGAAGAAGACUACCUGGGUUUUAAAUGACGGAUAAAAUGCA